GAUGAAGAACGCAGCGAAAUGCGAUAAGUAAUGUGAAUUGCAGAAUUCAGUGAAUCAUCGAAUCUUUGAACGCACAUUGCGCCCGCCAGUAUUCUGGCGGGCAUGCCUGUUCGAGCGUCAUUUCAACCAUCAAGCCCCCGGCCUGUGUUGGGGACCUGCGGCUGCCGCAGGCCCUGAAAAGCAGUGGCGGGCUCGCUGUCACACCGAGCGUAGUAGCAUACAUCUCGCUCUGGGCGUGCUGCGGGUUCCGGCCGUUAAACCACCUUCAUAACCCAAGGUUGACCUCGGAUCAGGUAGGAAGACCCGCUGAACUUAAGCAUAUCAAUAAGCGGAGGA
rnacentral:misc_RNA from 1 species